rnacentral:rRNA from 1 species
CCUACGGGUGGCAGCAGUGAGGAAUAUUGGUCAAUGGGCGCGAGCCUGAACCAGCCAAGUAGCGUGAAGGAUGACUGCCCUACGGGUUGUAAACUUCUUUUAUAAAGGAAUAAAGUGCGGCACGUGUGCCUUUUUGUAUGUACUUUAUGAAUAAGGAUCGGCUAACUCCGUGCCAGCAGCCGCGGUAAUACGGAGGAUCCGAGCGUUAUCCGGGUUUAUUGGGUUUAAAGGGCGCGUAGGUGGGUUGUUAAGUCAGCUGUGAAAGUUUGUGGCUCAACCGUAAAAUUGCAGUGGAAACUGGUAGACUGGAGUACAGGUGAGGUAGGCGGAAUGCGUGGUGUAGCGGUGAAAGGCUUAGAUAUCACGAAGAACUCCGAUUGCGAAGGCAGCUUACUAAACUGUCACUGACACUGAUGCUCGAAAGUGUGGGUAUCAAACAGGAUUAGAUACCCUAGUAGUC